rnacentral:rRNA from 1 species
UACGAAGGGGGCUAGCGUUGCUCGGAAUCACUGGGCGUAAAGCGCACGUAGGCGGACUCUUAAGUCGGUGGUGAAAUCCUGGAGCUCAACUCCAGAACUGCCUUCGAUACUGAGAGUCUCGAGUCCGGGAGAGGUGAGUGGAACUGCGAGUGUAGAGGUGAAAUGCGUAGAUAUCUGCAGGAACACCCGUGGCGAAAGCGGCGCGCUGGACCACUACUGACGCUGAGGAACGAAAGCUAGGGGAGCAAACAGG